CGAAGUAUAGCAUAUAUAAUGCCCUUUACUUACACUAAAAAUAAAACAACACCUGUUUACUUCGCCU
rnacentral:tRNA from 1 species